CGACCGGAUGCGGAUCUCGAAAGCCUGUCCCAGUUCGGACUGGAGUCUGNAACCCGACUCCACGAAGUUGGAUUCGCUAGUAAUCGCGCAUCAGCCAUGGCGCGGUGAAUACGUUCCCGGGCCUUGUACACACCGCCCGUCAAGCCAUGGGAGCCGGGGGCGCCUGAAGUCCGGGACCGCGAGGACCGGCCUAGGGCGAAACUGGUAACUGGGGCUAAGUCGUAACAAGGUAUC
rnacentral:rRNA from 1 species